rnacentral:rRNA from 1 species
UACGGAGGAUCCGAGCGUUAUCCGGAUUUAUUGGGUUUAAAGGGUGCGCAGGCGGGAGAUUAAGUCGGCGGUGAAAUUUUGCAGCUCAACUGUAAAAGUGCCUUCGAAACUGGUUUCCUUGAGUGUAGAUGAAGUAGGCGGAAUUUGUGGUGUAGCGGUGAAAUGCAUAGAUAUCACGAGGAACUCCGAUUGCGCAGGCAGCUUACUAAACUACUACUGACGCUCAUGCACGAAGGCGUGGGGAUCAAACAGGAUUAGAUACCCU